rnacentral:rRNA from 1 species
UGGGGAAUUUUGCACAAUGGAGGAAACUCUGAUGCAGCGACGCCGCGUGAGUGAUGAAGAUCUUCGGAUUGUAAAACUCUGUCCUUAGUGAAGAUAAUGACAGUAACUAAGAAGCAAGCCCUGGCUAAAUACGUGCCAGCAGCCGCGGUAAUACGUAUGGGGCAAGCGUUGUCCGGAAUUAUUGGGCGUAAAGGGUACGUAGGCGGUUUAAUAAGUCCUAAUUAAAAGGCUAUGGUUCAACCAUAGUAUGGUUAGGAAACUGUUGAACUUGAGUAGAUGAGGGGAAAGUGGAAUUCCAUGUGUAGCGGUGAAAUGCGUAGAUAUAUGGAGGAACACCAAUGGCGAAGGCAACUUUCUGGAAUCAAACUGACGCUGAGGUACGAAGGCGUGGGGAGCAAACAGG